GUCUCUGUAGUGUAGUGGUUAUCACGUUUGCCUAAAAUGCGAAAGGUCUCCGGUUCGAGACCGGGUGGAAACA